rnacentral:rRNA from 1 species
UACGGAGGGGGCUAGCGUUGUUCGGAAUUACUGGGCGUAAAGCGCACGUAGGCGGCUUUCUAAGUCGGGGGUGAAAUCCUGGAGCUCAACUCCAGAACUGCCUUCGAUACUGGAAAGCUCGAGUCCGGGAGAGGUGAGUGGAACUGCGAGUGUAGAGGUGAAAUUCGUAGAUAUUCGCAAGAACACCGUGGCGAAGGCGG